CAUAUGUAUACGUAUAUAUAUUUUUUUUCUUUUUUUCUCAUUUCUUAUGCAGAAUACAAUUCGUUAAAUAUACUUAUGAAUGACACUCCAAAAGGGAACAAAGACGAUUUCUUUGACCUAAACCUAAUCGAAGAAAAAAAAGAUGAAAAGACUAUUAAUAUAACCCCUUUAAAAAUAUAUGACAAAAAUAACAUUGAAAUUAUGUUCCAAUUUGAUAAGGAAAGUUUAGAUUCGGAGAGUACUAAUAUAAAAGCUACUUAUUCGAACAAAUCGGACAAGCUUAUACCUUACUUUGUUUUUGAAGUAAUCAACACUUCUUCCGGUUUUGUUUGCAUUUUUUGCGUUUUUUAUUUUUACAAUGAUUGCUCAUUUAUAAUCUCCCAUUUUAUUCUACAUACGACACAUGUUUUUUCAAUUUCUAAUAUAUAUUUGUGGAUUUUUUUUUUUUUUUUUUUAACAGGCUGUUGUUCCUAAUUAUGUCAAACUGAACAUAUUUAAAGCUUCGUCAACUGAAUUGUUACCCUUCGAAGAAAACAAAAUAACACAAAAUAUGCUAAUUGUUAACAAACUUUUUAAAAAAAAAACCAGUCCUUAUGAAAGUUAGGAUAUCAUAUACAAAAGACAACGAAAAAAUACAAGAUUUUAUUAAUAUAGGGAAUUUUCCUGAUGUUUUAUAAUAUAUAUAUACACAUGUGUAAAUAUACAUAUGUGUAAAUAUACACAUGUGUAAAUAUACAUAUGUGUAAAUAUACAUAUGUGUAAAUAUACAUAUAUAUAUAUAUAUAACGAAGAAAAAAAAAAAAAAACUUUGUCCCUAUUCCCUUUCACAUUUUAUUUUUUAUAAAAAAUUAGAAAAAACAUUAACACAUAUGGACAUAUAACAUAUGGGUAUGUAUGUCACAUAUGAAUGUUGUUCCACAUACAUUCAUUCGUUCACUCAUCUAAUCAUACAAUUACCCAAUCGUUCAUUUUUUUUUUUUUUUUUUUUUUUUUUUUGGUAUUUUAUUACGCUUGUAUUUGUUACUUUAUUCGAUUAUUAUAUUAUGUUUGAUAAUUAUAUUUUGUUCGAUAAUUAUAUUUUGUUCGAUAAUUAUAUUAUGUUCGAUAAUUAUAUUCUGUUCGAUUAUUUUAUUAUGUUCGAUU
rnacentral:lncRNA from 1 species